AUGUGCCACUCGAGCACUGCAGUUCCCACACGGCGCAUGCUCACCUGACGAUGCUCGCUAUGUUUUGUAGAC
rnacentral:sRNA from 1 species